AAUGCCUUCCAAUAUUUCUCCUAGAACAGCUCAAGUGAGGUGAAACAGUGGAAAGGCAGCCCUGUUGAUUUGAAUUAUGCCACCCCACCUUACCAGCGCCCCAAAUGUCGGCCUUUUUCCCACUCAGGUGUGGUUGUCCUUGGAAAGACCCAGAACAGACGUUUCAUCACCAAGUGGUACUAGACAAAAACGGAAGGUAGAAGCAAAGCAGACAUAAGUACUUAUCAAGAAGCAGAGCAACCAGGAGACAACGGAAGGAAAGAGGCCCUGGUCUCCUCGGGAACUGUGUUACUGACAGAACAAGGAACAGCUUUGGCUGGAGAUGUUUAUGCUGACUUUGGAGUAUGGAUCAGAAGAGGGUCCUGGCUUGCUGAUGGAGCUCAGGCCUAUGGAAAACAGGAUGAUCUUACAGUUAAAAACAAACAACCCUGGGUGUGGUCUCAGGGCCUGGGAGGAAAGGAUGAGUCAGCUGAAAGUGAUGGAAAUUGACGAAUCUCUCAAGAGAUGCUGCCAUUUCCUGAGCACCUGUGAGCUCAUCUUAUCCUCACAACUGAAAGUGCUUUUUCCGACGUCAGACAUGGAAAAAUAUGGCACCUAAAAGAGGAUGUCACUUUGACAACCAAUACUCCCCCAGCCCAAAACCAAUUAUUAUAAUCACUGAUGAAACUGUGAUAUGGCCUGUGAUUCACUUACAUACUCUUCUGUGUCCAUAAGAUCAGCUUCUGUCUUCCGCUUCCACCACUCCCAGUUCUCAUUCUAUUCCUAGUGUUACCUCUUGAAGAUGAUGCCUGUCCCUUAAGUAGCAGAAGCAGCUUUCUGUAUCUGGAAGAAGAGAGGCCACACUGGGCUUGAGGAGACACCAUGAUUUAUGGUCCUAGAUGAUGUCCCCUUCUCACCAUUCCCACACACAGUCACCCUUUGAGCUUGCACCAUCCUCAUAGGGGACCCUGUUGGCACUACUAUGUGGGGGAACAGCGACCCUCAAGGUUCAGGUGCAGAAGCAAGCACCCGUCAGGUGUGAUCCUGGCUCUGCCACUCACUGUGGGACCUAAGCCAAUCCACUUCCUCUCUCUGAGCCUCAGUUUUCCAAAGGGUAAAAAGAAGGAUCUAGAUGAGAUACCUCUCAAGGGCCACUCCAGCUCAGAUCCUCUGACUUGCUUAGUGUGUGAUGAGAGUUAUCUUCUCCCAGAAAAGGCUUCUUUUUCUAAAGCCAAGUGUAGUAAGGACUCCUCUACUCUUUCUAGGCAUUUCAGACUUUCUUUAAAAAGAUCUUAUUUUGGCCCAGCGCGAUGGCUCAAGCCUGUAAUCCCAGCACUUUGGGAGGCCGAGGCGGGUGGAUCACGAGGUCAGGAGUUCGAGACCAGCCUAACAAACAUGGUGAAAUCCCGUCUCUACUAAAGAUACAAAAAAAAAAAAGAAAAAAAUUAGCCAAGCAUGGUGGUGUGCACCUGUAAUCCCAGCUACUCAGGAGGCUGAAGCAGGAGAAUCACUUGAACCUGGGAGUCAGAGGUUGCAGUGAGCCGAGACUGCACUAUUGUGCUCCAGCCUGGAUGACAGGGCAAGACUGUCUCAAAAAAGAAAAAAAAAAAAAAAAAAAAGAAAGAAAAAAAAGAUCUUACUUUACCAGGCUUUUUGGGGCCCACUGCCACUCAGAGGCCAAAAUUCUCCCAAUGUCAGUGGCUAGAAGAAAAUCAGAUCAAAAAGCAUCCCUGUGCCUCAUCUGAAUCCAAUUUCUGCUUUGAACCUUUUGCCAAGUCUAGGGCUUAUCAGCCAGAGUGUGUGUGAAUUACCAUAUGAAAGGACUCUCUUGGAUCAUAUUUAAAAGAAUCAUCAUUUCAAUUUAGAUCAGAAAAACACCCAGUCCUUCAGAAAAUACAUAUAAAUUCUUCUCUAAAUGUCCAAACAGAUUUAUGCCAUAGAAGAUGUAAUUAUCUCCUUCUGGGAUAAAGGAAUCUUCUAGCUGUGAGGGUGAGCCAAGAAGCCAGAACUUUCUGCCUAAGAGGAGACUGCAGCAGGGCCACUACAGAAGGUUGUCCAAGUUGUUCACUGCACAAGGGCACUGGGCCAAAAGUGGGUAGGGGAGGCAGGAGUAGCUGCUUAAAUCCAGCCUGAGCUCCACCGGCCAAGUCAUGUGUUCAGUGCAAGGUUAGGUCAGUUCAAAUGGAGGUGCACCUUUUGGUAAUUCAGUAGAGGCACUGUAUAUGCUAGCAGGCAGCCACUCAGCAUGGAAAAAUGGGUCUUUCCUUUGUUAACAAACACAACAGCUCCCAAAGGCUCACAGCAAGAGCAGAUGGCAGGAAAGCAGAAGUGAAGGCUGGGUGGCGGGGCAGGCGUGGGGAGAAGAUGGGGAAACGAUCUUGGGUGUCUGUAGAGGAGCUUACACCCUAAUGCCUCCCAGCUGGCCUAAAUGAACACAGUUCUGAGAAGACCCCAGUAAGAGACUGUUUCCAGCCCCUCCCCUCCUUUACUGCCCCUCCUUUCGGGCUCUGCUCAGCCUUCCCUGACCUCCCAGCCUACAUCAGAGUCCCCAUUGCAGGUUCUCUGAGCACCUUUGUUUUUCCUUUACAACGCUCAAGCUGCACUUUGUAAUUAUGUGGGUGUAGGGAAUUUGAGUCACCUCUAUUCUCCCCCCGUUAGACUGGAAGCCGUGUGAAGGCAAACUAUGUUGGGUUUUGCUCUUGUAUCCCCAGGACCCAGCAUAGUGUCUGGGGCAUGAAGCAGGAACUACGAAUGAAUUAAAAUGGUGUGAAUUAAAGGGUGUGGGCCUUGCACUCUGCAUCCCUUUUUGCCAGGCCUAGGAGGCUGUCUGGGCACAGUGACAUGUGGUCACCAUGAUGUAAGUUCUGUGCCCACCCCCAGGAGACACAGUCCAGAAAAGACAUAUCCAACCCUGGCUAGGCAUUCAAAACACAUAUGAAGACCAAUGAAAACAGCUUCCCAAAACCCACCCCAAGAGAUUGUGAUUCAGGGCUAGGAUUUGUGUAUUUAACAAGGUCCCCCAGGUGACACGAAUCUGCCUAUCAGAACCAACAGAUACUGUUGCAAUAGAUACAAAGAAGCACGGGGACCAAAGAGAAGGAGGUCCCACAUAAAGAUCUGUGGAAGGCUUUCCAGCACAAAUGAUGUCCCAGCCAGGUCUUGAUGGCUGGGAAGGGCAUUCUGGGUCAAGGGAAUGACAUAAACAAAGACAGAGACAGAGACAUUGGUGCACAUGGGGUGAACAAAUGGGGACAGGGCAGCAGGGUUGAAUCCAAAUGACAAGAAGCCAUUCCUGGGGGACGCUCAAGCGUAAUUCACCCACCACUCAGCUGGGCUCCCAGAGCCCUUUUAGGUAAGAAGCCCAUAUUUUGGCAGUCCCCAGAGGAGUUCCUCUGCACCCCCAUUUUUCAUGCAGCUUCCAUCCUAUUUUCAGUCCCAUUUCCUGUCUCCCUCUUUCUCAUGUUCUUUCUCUAGUUAGACUGUGGGCUCCUGAGGUCCCAUGGCCAUCAGGGAAGUAUUGCCGUGGACUUCUUUGAUAAAUAGGCCUGAUUUAAGAACUCUAAACUAUCCUGGCUGGAUAUAGGAGACUGCUGAAGCUGGCAAAAAUAGUAGUCCCUAAAGCCAGUAUCUAUAGCCACGCAUCUCCAGUGUGGCAGAGAAGGGUCAUCUUACUUAAUAUAAAAGCAGUAUCUGGAGCAUGAAGGUCAGGCCCCAGAGAGGCCUGCACAUCAUGCUGCACUUCCAUCUUUUUUCUUUUUUGAGCCCAGAAUGAGGAGGUUAACGUUAGAAACAACAGAGAGGAUGCCUGUGGGAUGGGAGGGCAGAUCCUCAAAGACCUGCCUGAGCCCUGCCUGAGCUGGAGGGGAGAAUCCACACGCUGGGUGACUCAGGCUGUAGGAAUGAGCUCUCACCCCAGGCUCCCAUCUAUCCUUCCACAUCUUUCCAUGACUUCCUCUCUCCCCACCCCUCUCCCUCUUCCUCCAAUGGGCCUGGGCUGGGUUGGCAUGCCGGUGCUCUCUCUUAACUGGACUUUUCUAACGGGCCUGCCUGUUGCCUGGACAUGUUUUCUACAAGUAAAUGUGCUGGAGAGAGGAAACAGAAGUCCUCAGCACGUGGUUCCUCUCUUUGGACCAAGUGGCCUCUGGGGAACCGGUGAGGAUCUGAAGUUCCCAGCCUCUGCACCAAGCUGCAGACCCAGGGUCUUUUGAGUAAUGCCCCGCGCCACAGUUCAGUGCCACCUCGCCAAAGCCCGAACUAUCUUGUCUGCUGUCCGGUUAUAAAUUAAUCUCUUGUCAUCAGUGAUUAACUUAUUCAAGACACAGGAGCUGCUGAACCAAAACAGCCCCUUGGGGUGAAAGAGCCUCCAGCAUGGUGUGGCGUGUAGGUCUGCCUGUGACCCUGGCCGUGCUGGCUCUUGUGCUGUGUCAGCAGGGCUGCAGGGAUGGCCAGGGCAGGGGUCCGGCUCUGGGCACUGCUGCCCUGGAAUGUUCACUGAGUCCCUCGAACUGGAGAUCCAUGCUGCAAAUAUCUAGGGCUUGUUUUUGUGUGUGUGUUUGUCUGCAAGGAGGGCUUUGAAAAGGGGGUUGGGGUGGGCCAUGUCCCUAGGGGCACAUGUCACCUGAAUACAAACAGCCUGGACUGAUAGAGGAGCAGAGGGGAGCCCAACUUUGGAAUUCACAGAUGUUGAGGGGAGUUAUGGGCCACCUAUUACAGCAUAAGCCAUCACAGUGGAAAGAGGCCUCCAAGGUCAUUAGCUCCAACUUCCUAAUUCUAUAGAGGCCAAGGAAGAAGGCUUGACUCACCCAAGGCCACACUCUAGAGCCAAUGGGGAGGAAAAGAACAAAUGUCAAAUCUUGUCUAUAUGUCAGAUAAAGGCUCAUUUAGUCACCACCAUGAUGAUAGGCAACAAACAACUUCCUUAGGAAAAAAUUUCCAAGGAAUCCUUCUAUACCCCACCACUACCAUUUAAAGACCUCAAAAGUAAGAUUUCUCUGAUUUUUUUCUGAAUAGCUCUGGUAGAUUUGAUCUCACUUCUUAGUUCAGGGCACCUCACAGCAAUUUAAAAAUGGUGCCUUUAUUCACCUCUAGGGUGGUCCUCCCCCAGAAAACUGUAACCCCAGCCUAACCAGGAGAAAAACAUCAGAACAACCCAAAGCAAGGGAUGUUCUACAAAGAACUUCACCCCUACUACUCAAAACUGUCACGGUCACCAAAGCCAAGGAAAGCCUGAGAAACUGUCACAGACUGGGGGACUAAGGAGACACGAUGAUUGAGUGCAAUGUGGCACCCUGGAUGGGAUCCAGGAAUAGGAAAAAGUCAUUAGGAAAAAUUAGUGGAAUAUGAAUAAAGUAUAGAGUUUAGUUAACAGUAGUGUAACAAUGCUGGCUCCUUAGUUGCAACAAAUGGACUACAGUAAUGUAAGUCUAUGGCCACACCACCCUGAACUUGUCUAGAGUAAUGUAAAAUGUUAACAAUAGGGGAAACUUGGGAUGAGA